rnacentral:rRNA from 1 species
GCGGUUCGCUGCCCGCGACGUUGUGAGAAGUCCACUGAACCUUAUCAUUUAGAGGAAGGAGAAGUCGUAACAAGGUUUCCGUAGGUGAACCUGCGGAAGGAUCAUUG